AGUGUGGCUAGAUGCGGUGGCUCACACCUGUAAUCCCAACACUUUGGGAGACAGAGCUGGGAGGACUGCUUGACCCCAGAAGUCUGAGACCAGCCUGGGUAACAUAGUGACAUGCCAGCUCCACACACAAAAAACAUAGCCAAGCGUGGUGACACACGCCAGUGGCCCAGCUCCUCCGAUGGCUGAAGUGGGAGGACUGCUUGAGCCCUGGGAGGUUGGGCCUGCAGUGAACCCAUCACUGCACUCCAGCUUGGGCAGCAGAGCCAGACCCUGUCUCAAAAAAAAAGAGGGGAAGUGAACUGUAUAGUCUGUGACUUCUAUCUCAGUAACAGAUUUUUAUAUGUUUUUAAAUGGAGGGUCCCAGAGAGGGAAAAAAUCUGGGAGUGUUUUCAAAUACAUGUAUGCCUUGUAUGUAUCAUGAUACUUGCCCUUUUUAAGUUGUUAUUUUUAAUCUUAUUCCAAAUGUAGACCAAAAAAAAAAAAAACCACCAAGCAUCUGGGAUUCAUUCGGCACUCAAAUAUUUGAUGAAUGCAAGAAUAGGCUGGGUGUGGUGACACACCUGUAACCCCAACACUGGGAAGCUGAGGUAGGAGGAUCACUUGAGCCCAGGAGUUCAAGACCAGCCUGGACAACAUGGCAAGACCCCAUCUCUACAAAUAGUUUAAAAAUUAGUAGGGCAUGGUGGCAGAUACUGGUAGUCCCAGCUUGGGACUACCCAAGCUGGUGGCAGAUACUUGGGAGGAUCGCUUGAGCCUGGAAGGUCAAGGCUGCAGCGAGUAAUGACCGUGACAUUGCACCCCAGCCCAGGUGACAGAGUGAGACUCUGUCUUAAAAAAUAAAAACAUUAGGCCAGGCUGGAGCGCAGUGGCACAAUCUCAGCACACUCCAACCUGCACUUCCCAGGUUCAAGCACUUCUUGUGCCUAAACCACCAGAGUAGCUGGGAUUACAGGCAUGCACCACCACACCCGGCUAAUAUUUGUAUUUUUUGUAGGGAUGGGUUUUCACCAUAUUGCCCAGGCUGGUCUCAAACUCCUGGGCUCAAGCCAUCUGCCCACCUCGGCCUCCCAAAGUGCUGAGAUUACAGACGGGAGCCAUCAUGCCCAGCUAAUAUUUUCAGUAAGAAUACAAAUAAGUGAUACAGAUAUCCAAACUCCAAUGUUGCAGGUAAGAACUGGUGUGAGGUGUGUGGGAUAUGGGGGUGGAUCCUUCAUGAAUUGCUUGGUGCCCUCCUUGUGUGAUAAGUGAAUUCCCACUAAUAGAGUGGGAAUUAGGUCCCUUUAAAUAAAAUAAAAAAAUUUUUUUUGAGAUGGAGUCUC
rnacentral:lncRNA from 13 species